rnacentral:rRNA from 1 species
UUCCGGUUGAUCCCGCCGGAGGCCAUUGCUAUCGGUGUCCGAUUUAGCCAUGCGAGUCGCACGUUCAACGUGGCGAACGGCUCAGUAACACGUGGUCAAACUACCCUACGGACCGUGAUAACCUCGGGAAACUGAGGCUAAUAACGGAUGUCGCUCCCGAGCUGGGAUGCUGGGAGCGAUAAAGCUCCGGCGCCGUAGGAUGUGACUGCGGCCGAUUAGGUAGACGGUGGGGUAAUGGCCCACCGUGCCGAUAAUCGGUACGGGUUGUGAGAGCAAGAACCCGGAGACGGACUCUGAGACAAGAGUCCGGGCCCUACGGGGCGCAGCAGGCGCGAAACCUUUACACUGCACGCAAGUGCGAUAGGGGGACACCGAGUGCGAGGGCAUAGAGCCCUCGCUUUUGUGCAUCGUAAGGUGGUACACGAAUAAGGGCUGGGCAAGACCGGUGCCAGCCGCCGCGGUAACACCGGCAGCCCGAGUGAUGGCCGCUUUUAUUGGGCCUAAAGCGUCCGUAGCCGGCCGUUCAGGUCCGUCGGGAAAUCCACUGGCUCAACCAGUGGGCGUCCGGCGGAAACCGAUCGGCUUGGGACAGGGAGACCAGAGGGGUACGUCCGGGGUAGGAGUGAAAUCCUGUAAUCCUGGACGGACCACCGGUGGCGAAAGCGCCUCUGGAGAACUGAUCCGACGGUGAGGGACGAAAGCUGGGGUCUCGAACCGGAUUAGAUACCCGGGUAGUCCCAGCUGUAAACAAUGCUCGCUAGGUGUGUCGCAGGCUACGAGCCUGCGAUGUGCCGUAGGGAAGCCGAGAAGCGAGCCGCCUGGGAAGUACGUCCGCAAGGAUGAAACUUAAAGGAAUUGGCGGGGGAGCACUACAACCGGAGGAGCCUGCGGUUUAAUUGGAUUCAACGCCGGGAAG